rnacentral:rRNA from 1 species
AUGGUGUGGGCAGCAAUAAAUGCCUUGGAUUACAUUAGAGAGAGUGGUAAUUACCAUGGCAACUUUUCAUGGAGAACUACGCUUUAUCAUGAGGCGAAUGGCAACAUUGUAGUCAAGUUAGCAUACUUUGAAAGGAAAAGUUUGAGCAGAGCUAGAGUUACAAUGUCUACAACACCAGAGAUAUCUCAGACAGUGUGUUCAGCAGCCGCUUUAGCUCAAGCCGUUGAGGAUUAUGAUCCAUCAAAGGAUCCUGGGAGGAAGCCAACUAGGACCAUGGACCCAGCAUGGAAGUAUGCCUUUUGGCCUGAUCUGCAGGACAAAUUGACAAUCCAGUGUGUUUUGUGUGGCAAAAACGUCUCUUCUGGAGUGCUAAGGAUGAAGAAGCACCUUGGUGGGGGUUACAAAGUGAGUCCAAAACUCUGUUGCAAUGUCAAGCUGAAGAUUGCGUCUCUCUCGGAGCCUCUCUUGAGGCGGUAUCUCAACAUGUUUUCGGUUGGUACAGCAAAACAUGAUCUUGAAGAUCAUGAUUUCUUUUGGGAUGAGAAAAGGACAAAGAUGUUCUUUGCCUAUGAGGUACCCAAGAUUUUUAAGAAAUAG